rnacentral:rRNA from 1 species
UACGGGGGGGGCAAGCGUUGUUCGGAAUUACUGGGCGUAAAGGGCGCGUAGGCGGCCCGCUUAGUCGGACGUGAAAUCCCUCGGCUCAACCGAGGAGCUGCGUCCGAUACUGGCGGGCUCGAAUCCGGGAGAGGGAUGUGGAAUUCCAGGUGUAGCGGUGAAAUGCGUAGAGAUGUGGAGGAACACCGAUGGCGAAGGCAGCCCCCUGGGUCAAGAUUGACGCUCAUGCACGAAAGCGUGGGGAGUAAACAGG